AGAGUUUGAUCAUGGCUCAGGAUGAACGCUAGCGACAGGCUUAACACAUGCAAGUCGAGGGGUAACAGGGGAAGCUUGCUUCCCGCUGACGACCGGCGCACGGGUGCGUAACGCGUAUACAAUCUACCUAUUACAGGGGGAUAGCCCAGAGAAAUUUGGAUUAAUACCCCAUAGUAUUAUUUAUUGGCAUCAUUAGAUAAUUAAAGCUUCGGCGGUAAUAGAUGAGUAUGCGUCCUAUUAGUUAGUUGGUAAGGUAAUGGCUUACCAAGACAUCGAUAGGUAGGGGUCCUGAGAGGGAGAUCCCCCACACUGGUACUGAGACACGGACCAGACUCCUACGGGAGGCAGCAGUGAGGAAUAUUGGGCAAUGGACGAGAGUCUGACCCAGCCAUGUCGCGUGCAGGAAGACGGCUUUAUGAGUUGUAAACUGCUUUUAUAUAGGAAGAAACCCCUAGACGUGUUUAGGGCUGACGGUACUAUAUGAAUAAAGACCGGCUAACUCCGUGCCAGCAGCCGCGGUAAUACGGAGGGUCUAAGCGUUAUCCGGAAUCAUUGGGUUUAAAGGGUCCGUAGGCGGGCUAAUAAGUCAGAGGUGAAAUCCCACAGCUUAACUGUGGCACUGCCUUUGAUACUGUUAGUCUUGAGUCAUAAUGAAGUAGAUGGAAUGUGUAGUGUAGCGGUGAAAUGCAUAGAUAUUACACAGAACACCGAUUGCGAAGGCAGUCUACUAAUUAUGUACUGACGCUGAUGGACGAAAGCGUGGGUAGCGAACAGGAUUAGAUACCCUGGUAGUCCACGCCGUAAACGAUGGAUACUAGCUGUUGGAUUCAAUUAGUUGGAUUCAGUGGCCAAGCAAAAGUGAUAAGUUCCCACCU
rnacentral:rRNA from 1 species